UGCAGGGGGCCUAGGUAAUCAAACCAAAACAGCAUCAGCACCACCCAAAGACAAGUCUAUUCCGGGCAGAAGGGCCACACUUUCAGUUGCCACCCCACCCAGGAAGGGAGAGCAGCACCAGGUACACUCUGACUGAAGCUGGAGAACACACGGGAGGGGUCUGGAGCGGAUGCUGGGGGACCGAGCACAGGCCGUGCAGUACUGCAGUUAUCCCUAGCAGAAGGAUUAUUGAACAAGCAUCAUAUAAAAUGGACCUUUAACAUCUCCAGAGUUGAAAUGCAGCUUAUACUCAAAGAUCACAUGAAGCAGUCAGC